rnacentral:rRNA from 1 species
GACGAACGCUGGCGGCGUGCCUAAUACAUGCAAGUCGAGCGAACAGACGAGGAGCUUGCUCCUCUGACGUUAGCGGCGGACGGGUGAGUAACACGUGGAUAACCUACCUCUACGACUGGGAUAACUUCGGGAAACCGGAGCUACUACCGGAUACUAUAUUGAACCGCAUGGUUCAAUAGUGAUAGCCGGUUUUGCUGUCACUUAUAGCUGGCUCCGCGCCGCAUUAGUGAGUUGGUAAGGUAACGGCUUACCAAGGCAACGAUGCGUAGCCGACCUGGGAGGGUGAACGGCCACACUGGAACUGAGACACGGUCCAGACUCUGACAGGAGGCAGCGGUAGGGAAGCGUCCGCGAUGGGCGAAAGCCUGACGGAGCAACGCCGCGUUAGUGAUGAAGGUCUUCGGAUCGUAAAACGCUGUUAUUAGGGAAGAACAAAUGUGUAAGUAACGAUGCACUUCGUGACGGUACCUAGUCAAAAAGCCACGGCUAACUACGUG